rnacentral:rRNA from 1 species
GACGAACGCUGGCGGCGUGCUUAACACAUGCAAGUCGAACGAAGAGCGAUGGAAGCUUGCUUCUAUCACUCUUAGUGGCGAACGGGUGAGUAACGCGUAAUCAACCUGCCCUUCAGAGGGGGACAACAGUUGGAAACGACUGCUAAUACCGCAUACGAUCUAAUCUCGGCAUCGAGGAUAGAUGAAAGGUGGCCUCUACAUGUAAGCUAUCACUGAAGGAGGGGAUUGCGUCUGAUUAGCUAGUUGGAGGGGUAACGGCCCACCAAGGCGAUGAUCAGUAGCCGGUCUGAGAGGAUGAACGGCCACAGUGGGACUGAGACACGGCCCAGACCCCUACGGGAGGCAGCAGUGGGGAAUCUUCCGCAAUGGACGAAAGUCUGACGGAGCAACGCCGCGUGAGUGAUGACGGCCUUCGGGUUGUAAAGCUCUGUUAAUCGGGACGAAAGGCCUUCUUGCGAAUAGUGAGAAGGAUUGACGGUACCGGAAGAGAAAGCCACGGCUAACUACGUG